rnacentral:rRNA from 1 species
UACAGAGGUCUCAACCGUUGUUCGGAUUCAUUGGGCGUAAAGGGUGCGUAGGCGGUCUGGUAAGUCGGAUGUGAAAUCUCAGGGCUCAACCCUGAAACUGCAUUCGAUACUGCUAGGCUUGAGUACUGGAGGGGAGACUGGAAUUUACGGUGUAGCAGUGAAAUGCGUAGAUAUCGUAAGGAAGACCAGUGGCGAAGGCGAGUCUCUGGACAGUUACUGACGCUGAGGCACGAAGGCCAGGGGAGCAAACGGG